rnacentral:rRNA from 1 species
UCCUUAGAUGUUCUCGGCCGCACACGCGCUACACUGAAAGAGGCAACGUGUUUGCCUGAUUCGAAAGAAUUGGGUAACCCCCUAAUCUCUUUCGUGCUGGGGAUUGAGGUUUGCAAUUAUCCUUCAUGAACGAGGAAUUCCCAGUAAGUGCGAGUCAUUAUCUCGCGCUGACUACGUCCCUGCCCUUUGUACACACCGCCCGUCGCUACUACCGAUUGAAUGAUUUAGUGAGGACUUCGGACUGAGUCCAAUGCGGCUUUCGGGCUGCGUUGGUAUUUCGGAAAGAUGUCCAAACUGUAUCAUUUAGAGGAAGUAAAAGUCGUAACA